UACGUAGGGUGCAAGCGUUAAUCGGAAUUACUGGGCGUAAAGCGUGCGCAGGCGGUGAUGUAAGACAGGUGUGAUAUCCCCGGGCUUAACCUGGGAACUGCAUUUGUGACUGCAUCGCUGGAGUGCGGCAGAGGGGGAUGGAAUUCCGCGUGUAGCAGUGAAAUGCGUAGAUAUGCGGAGGAACACCGAUGGCGAAGGCAAUCCCCUGGGCCUGCACUGACGCUCAUGCACGAAAGCGUGGGGAGCAAACAGG
rnacentral:rRNA from 1 species